UGGGGAAUAUUGCACAAUGGGCGCAAGCCUGAUGCAGCAACGCCGCGUGAGGGACGACGGCCUUCGGGUUGUAAACCUCUUUUAGUAGGGAAGAAGCGAAAGUGACGGUACCUGCAGAAAAAGCACCGGCUAACUACGUGCCAGCAGCCGCGGUAAUACGUAGGGUGCGAGCGUUGUCCGGAAUUAUCGGGCGUAAAGAGCUCGUAGGCGGUCUGUCGCGUCUGCUGUGAAAACCCGAGGCUCAACCUCGGGCCUGCAGUGGGUACGGGCAGACUAGAGUGCGGUAGGGGAGAAUGGAAUUCCUGGUGUAGCGGUGGAAUGCGCAGAUAUCAGGAGGAACACCGAUGGCGAAGGCAGUUCUCUGGGCCCGUAACUGACGCUGAGGAGCGAAAGCGUGGGGAGCGAACAGGAUUAGAUACCCUGGUAGUCCACGCCGUAAACGUUGGGCGCUAGAUGUGGGGACCAUUCCACGGUUUCCGUGUCGCAGCUAACGCAUU
rnacentral:rRNA from 1 species